rnacentral:rRNA from 1 species
UACGUAGGGUCCGAGCGUUGUCCGGAAUUAUUGGGCGUAAAGGGCUCGUAGGCGGUCCGUCGCGUCGGGAGUGAAAACUCGGAGCUUAACUCCGAGCCUGCUUCCGAUACGGGCAGACUAGAGGUAGGCAGGGGAGACCGGAAUUCCUGGUGUAGCGGUGAAAUGCGCAGAUAUCAGGAAGAACACCAAUGGCGAAAGCAGCUCUCUGGGACGGUACUGACGCUGAGACGCGAAAGCGUGGGGAGCGAACAGG